rnacentral:rRNA from 1 species
UACGUAGGGGGCUAGCGUUGUCCGGAAUCAUUGGGCGUAAAGAGCGCGUAGGCGGCCAGAUAAGUCCGGUGUGAAAGUCAAAGGCUCAACCUUUGAAUGCCGCUGGAAACUGUCUGGCUAGAGUGCGGAAGAGGCGAGUGGAAUUCCUGGUGUAGCGGUGAAAUGCGCAGAUAUCAGGAGGAACACCUAUUGCGAAGGCAGCUCGCUGGGACGUAACUGACGCUGAGACGCGAAAGCGUGGGGAGCAAACAGG